GCCUGGCAUUGUUGCUUGCACCAGUACUCCAAAAGAAUGCGCAAUAAUUUUUCCUUACGCUAUCUUGGUGUACCCAUCCAGGUCAGUAAAAUUUCAUUAGUAAUUUUGUCAUGAUACUACUCUUUAAAUUUCUUUCUUGUUUCUUGUCUUUCUAAAACAUAUGAAUUUUUGCAUUGCACUUGGAAUGAUAGGCGUAAAUAACCUCCCCUUAGGUUCUACGUUGUCAGAAAGAAUAAUUACACGUACAAGUACCGAAUAACAUAAGGUAACACGUGGCACAUGCUUACAUCGUGUGGUAGGGGCAUUUUUGCUGGG
rnacentral:lncRNA from 1 species